rnacentral:rRNA from 1 species
UACAGAGGUCUCAAGCGUUGUUCGGAUUCAUUGGGCGUAAAGGGCGCGUAGGCGGCGGGGUAAGUCGGGUGUGAAAUCUCAGGGCUCAACCCUGAAACUGCACUCGAUACUGCUCUGCUUGAGGACUGGAGAGGAGACUGGAAUUCACGGUGUAGCGGUGAAAUGCGCAGAUAUCGGGAGGAACACCAAUGGCGAAGGCAGCUCGCUGGGACGGUACUGACGCUGAGGCGCGAAAGCGUGGGGAGCAAACAGG